GCUCGUUUUACGAACGCUUAAAAGUUUAUAGGCGGCAGUAAACGGCCGCAUUUACCUUUAUUUCGCCGGUUCCCGGUCGGGCGAACGACUCGUUUCUAAAGGGCCAUCCCGAGGCCUUUUUAUUCUCUCUUCCGAAUGCUUGUCUCUUCAUUCACUUUUGUAGACCGUUAUAGCGCUUCUCGUAAUAUGAGACGUCAGUAGAUUUGUCUUUGAGGCGGGUUUUUACUGCUCCACUGCGAACGAGAAAUAAACUAGAAAUCGCUAAAUACGUAAUUACUGUCGUGCACGGUUGCUGAAGAUGUUAUCGACGUAUGGUAAGAGUUCUAGUGUGGAAGUUUUGAUGGAAGUUUAUGGGAGUGUAAUUUCGUCAACAUUAGAAAGUGAAAUAGUGUGAUUCCGUGAUACUGAAUGAAAUAAAUCUAGUGUGGUGUGAAAUUUAUAGAAUGACAGAUUAUGAAAGAUGAAAUGAAAAUUAGAAUACAUUUGGCAUUUAAAAUUAUAUAUUUGAUUAUAGAAAGAUCUUCAAAAAAGAUUUCUUAAUAAUGAGAAAAGCUCGAACAUAUAAAUGCUAUUCUUAAGCGUUACAUGUGAUUCCAAUUAAAUGUCACUAACAAUAAGUACUCAGAUAAUCGAUCAUUUGAAUCUGCGAAUUGGCAGACAUGUAAAUCACGACGUCUAAACACAGCGUUUAAGGACAAGGCCACAAACAAUCGAAUCACCGUUGAACGACGUGAAUUAUUGGCGCAGUUGGGGUACACCGUGGCCUGGAAUGAUCUACGACGAUCGUAAAACCUGCUCGAUCGUAAAUCGUCGCGAUGCAUUCUAAAGCCGUCACAUAACGAUAGUAAUGACCGAUACGAACGAUCGAGCGUCGAUCGCUGUGAUUUCCAUUCAAAAUUCGCUUAUACAUUCAUACGAACGACACAAUGAACAUGGAACAAGUAGCUAUGCCAAUCGAACGGUGAUCUCAUCGAUGAAUCACGAUCCUCGAUCAUUGCUUUUCCUUUCUGCUUUCGUUUUAAACCGAGUUAGCUGUCGGCAGCCACAGUUGUCUGCUCGCUGUUUAUACGUUUAAAUGUUAUUGCUCGUAAAAACGACACAUUACGUAGCUGUUUGUUCUUUUUCAAGUAUCUUGAAUGGAAUUUUAUCCGCUUCACCGGUGGCAAAGAUUUUUAUUUUUUUUAUUUUUUUUGAAUUGAAACGAUAAAAUUGUAUAUGAAAGAUAGGUUAGAUAAUUGAUAUUUAAA